AGGUAUUGGUGGUGAUCCUUUCAAUGGUACAAAUUUUGUUGACUGCCUGAAGAAGUUUCUUGUAGAUCCUCAGACUGAAGGUAUCAUUCUUAUUGGUGAAAUAGGAGGCACUGCAGAAGAGGAUGCUGCUGCUCUGAUUAAGGAAAGUGGAACUCAAAAGCCUAUUGUUGCAUUUAUAGCUGGACUAACUGCUCCACCAGGGCGUCGCAUGGGUCAUGCUGGAGCUAUUGUAUCUGGGGGAAAGGGUACUGCCCAAGACAAAAUCAAAACUCUAAAAGCAGCUGGCGUCACAGUGGUGGAAUCUCCAGCAAAGAUUGGUGCUGCCAUGCUUGACGUGUUCAAAGAGAG
rnacentral:misc_RNA from 1 species